rnacentral:rRNA from 1 species
GAUGAGUGGCGAACGGGUGAGUAACACGUGGGUAAUCUGCCCUGUACUCUGGGAUAAGCCCUGGAAACGGGGUCUAAUACCGGAUAUGACAUGUCUCCGCAUGGGGGUGUGUGGAAAGCUCCGGCGGUACAGGUUGAGCCCGCGGCCUAUCAGCUUGUUGGUGGGGUGAUGGCCUACCAAGGCGACGACGGGUAGCCGGCCUGAGAGGGUGACCGGCCACACUGGGACUGAGACACGGCCCAGACUCCUACGGGAGGCAGCAGUGGGGAAUAUUGCACAAUGGGCGCAAGCCUGAUGCAGCGACGCCGCGUGGGGGAUGACGGCCUUCGGGUUGUAAACCUCUUUCGCUAGGGACGAAGCCUUUCGGGGUGACGGUACCUGGAGAAGAAGCACCGGCUAACUACGUGCCAGCAGCCGCGGUAAUACGUAGGGUGCGAGCGUUGUCCGGAAUUAUUGGGCGUAAAGAGCUCGUAGGCGGUGUGUCGCGUCUGCCGUGAAAACCUGCGGCUUAACCGUGGGCGUGCGGUGGAUACGGGCAUC